rnacentral:rRNA from 1 species
ACGCUGGCGGCAGGCCUAACACAUGCAAGUCGAGCGGUAACAGAAAGUAGCUUGCUACUUUGCUGACGAGCGGCGGACGGGUGAGUAAUGCCUGGGAAUAUGCCUUGAUGUGGGGGAUAACUAUUGGAAACGAUAGCUAAUACCGCAUAAUGUCUUCGGACCAAAGAGGGGGAUCUUCGGACCUCUCGCGUCAAGAUUAGCCCAGGUGAGAUUAGCUAGUUGGUGGGGUAAGAGCUCACCAAGGCGACGAUCUCUAGCUGGUCUGAGAGGAUGAUCAGCCACACUGGAACUGAGACACGGUCCAGACUCCUACGGGAGGCAGCAGUGGGGAAUAUUGCACAAUGGGCGAAAGCCUGAUGCAGCCAUGCCGCGUGUAUGAAGAAGGCCUUCGGGUUGUAAAGUACUUUCAGUCGUGAGGAAGGGUGUGUAGUUAAUAGCUGCACAUCUUGACGUUAGCGACAGAAGAAGCACCGGCUAACUCCGUGCCAGCAGCCGCGGUAAUACGGAGGGUGCGAGCGUUAAUCGGAAUUACUGGGCGUAAAGCGCAUGCAGGUGGUUCAUUAAGUCAGAUGUGAAAGCCCGGGGCUCAACCUCGGAACCGCAUUUGAAACUGGUGAACUAGAGUGCUGUAGAGGGGGGUAGAAUUUCAGGUGUAGCGGUGAAAUGCGUAGAGAUCUGAAGGAAUACCAGUGGCGAAGGCGGCCCCCUGGACA